CUAUGUUCUGAAGAAGCUCAGGAAGGCACAACAUAGACGAGAGGAGUUCAGGUCUGCAAGAGAAGUCACCCCUUCGGCUGCCUGGCAGCAAAACUUGGUGUGAAGGACUCGAGGACUUGCAGGGGGAACAUUUCAUGGCAGGAGCUCACUGGUGGCAUUUCCAGAGCAAUGUGCCCUGAAACUCAUGAAGCAAAGAGGAUAUUCAUGACGUGAAGACAAAAGCAGAGCUUCUAGAACAGACCAAUGGAUGUCUUCACCCUCUGUACAUAGCUUCAAGACAAUGAGGUGGAUUCUGAAGGUAUCCUAAGCCAGUUUGGAAGGAUUCCUAAUUUCUCUGAAAGCUAAAUUAGCUUCCUUGCACUGUCAUGGUAAAACCAAUGUCAUCUAAAGCACAGGGAUACCACUGCCUGGGUUAUCUCAGCUGCAUCAGUCAACAGCUUUACAAUUUUGACAUUUGGGAGAAACAGUUAUAAGAUUUUAAUAAGAGCAGACACUUACCACCCCCAGGUAGCCAAAUGGGCUAAAAAUAUCCCUUGUUUUGGUAUUCCUAGGUUCUCUGAGGUUAGUGAUAUGUUUAAUAUGCUGUCCAUUUGAAUACAGGAACUCCCUUGACAGAUUUUUGACAGUGGAGAGUUUUGUUAAUGGUAAGGUUUGAAUCAAGUAACAUUCCCACUCAAUCCCCUUCUUUAGCUGUCCUCAACACUAUAUAGCUUACAUUUUGUUCAUAAAAUAAGGGGCAACAAAGAUUCCAAGAUUUGCAAGGUUCUCUGUUGUUCUUUAUUUUUAAAAUAGAACUAUUUCCCAAUCAUUUUUUCCUAUUAAUUUAUUCUGCUUAAGUCAAAAAGCCCCAAGCAAGCAGCCCCCCUCAAAACUAAACGCCAACAAAACCCCACAACAAAACUCUUUGUAUUGAAGAAUACUCUAUAGCACUCAUGAAGUUUUCUUUUUAGUGUUCUCUAAUUCUCUUAUAUUCCUUUCUUACUGAUUAUGGCUUCAUGCCCUUUGCUUAGUAAAAUGUUCAGGAGCCCAUGAUGAAUGACAAUGGGCUGACUGUGGGAACUGUGGCAGAAUAUGGGCCUUCAUUUCUUGUUCCAUGUUAGGAGCUGUACUCGCAGCAGCCACACUGCUGAAGAUGUAAUUGUUUCUGAGAGAUGAAUGUAUGUCAUUUGCACAUCAACUUUUUUCUAGUAGUCAUGUAUUGAACAUGUAGUGGAAGGGCUAGAUGGGAAAGAAAAAGUACUAUUUAAAUUUAUAUUCAACUUUCUUCCCUUGCAUGAGAUGCAUCUUACCUUUCAUAUGGAAAAUGUCUACCCCAAACAUUCUUUUCUCAUUCCUAACUGGGAUGCUCCAGAGCCACAUUUUCCUCUAAUGGUCCAACUGGUUAAUCUCGUGAGUUAGUUAAAACAUCCCUGUUUACUUUAGCAAAAUGAAAGCUUACUUUGUCAGUGGACUAAAGGUCCAGGAAAGUGUCCUCAACAUUGGUCUGCGGGUACAAUUGCUUUUGGGGAGGUUCAACAGCAGAGAAGCUGGAUGGAGACCAGCCCUCCCUAGGUGGAGACACACUUACCUGAGAGGAAAUGUGGACAACAGACAGAGCCCAGUCUUUUCAAGCUAAACAGGUCUAUGAUUGUGUAUGAGAGAGAGGAAUUAGCACAGAGCAAUGAAGAUCUGGAGAGCAAAGGCCUGCGUAGUCCCUGAACUGAAAGCAAGGCUCGGCACUCUGACAAAUCCCAUCAUGUCUGUAUCAGGUGCUUUCACAGCACUGCCCUAUGCAGUGUGCAUGCACUUCACAGGGGUUUCUGCACCCCAUCCACAGCUUAGCCAGCGUAAGCCCUAGAGAGAGAGUCUGCACAUGUUUUGGGAAUCCCUGGAGGUACCUCAAACAGUUGUGCAGCAGUGAAGCAUAUUUGUGUAGAAGCCAUAUGAUGUCCACAGGUCAACUACUAUUUGCAGUCAGGAAUUUACACACAAGGUUUUGGUAUUCCCACUGUUACUCUUAUCCCCCAGUCAGCUAGUAAACAUUCUGGAGUUUUAAGUGCUUUUAAAAACCCAGAUAUUUCUAAGUUUUUAAAGUGGAGUUUUAUGUGGGGGGAAAACCCCUUCUGGAUAUUUCUGCCACUCUUUUCUUUCAUGGAUUUCCUUUCACUUGGUAGGGUUUCUGGGAAGAGGCAUCCAGAAAUACAGUGUUCCUGUGCUGAGGUGUCUUAGUCAUACAGGCUAAGUUUAUACUACAGAGCAAACAGUCCAAGUGCCUGUUCUCCAACCACAGGGCCAGCUGGCAUUGUCAUGACAAUUAGAUAUUACUAAGUUUUUUUAUUUCCAAAAUGUGGACUAUUUCAAUCUGCUUGUUCUGAGUGGUCAUUCUUCCAUAUUAACUUCUGCACUGUGCCAGGAAAUUGUUUGGGAAAUGCUAGGUGAUUUUAACAAAACCAUGUCAGGGACCAUUCUUACAGUUUAACCAUGUAAGGGGCAGAGUUGCAGUGCCCAGAAUAUUCCCUGGCAUACUCAUAAAACAGGACUAUUGUAUCCAUAACUGGCAAUAUGAUGCCUUCUUGCUUGCAAGCCAGAAUUUAUUUUUGGCAGUUCAGUUCCUCUGUAUUAGAAUUACAUUUGAGAUAAAGACUAAAACAAGAACGCAAAUUAACAGACUGUUUAUCCCUCUUCAGUAUUCACGUGUUUUGGGUAAGAAAUUAGAGGCUGCCCUUUCGAUUAUUUGAGGUUUGAUUUAUGUUCUGAAGUUAUUUGAUCUGCUCUAUUUCAUUUUUCAUUUUAAAAUAGACCCAAAGACCCUGACCCUCUUAAAAAGAAAGAACAUUAGCUUGUGGUAUUGCUGUACAAAAAGUAAACAGCCGGUUUUAUGAGGAAAACGUCUUUGGGAUGCAUAACUAUCGCAUGCCAAAGACUGAAUGUGGGAUGCAGUGUGUGACAAAGACGCAAAAUGAGGGACACACAAAAACUAUUCAUCCAGUAUAUUUAAAAUGUGGUGGGAUCCAGUCCUGUAGUAUAAAUAAGUCUUGUUCUAACCUCAAAAUAAUGAUUCUUUAUUUCUGAUAUAAAUGGUUGUCAACAAAAAAAUUGUGGUAUAACUUGUGUGGAAAGCAGGAAUCUGAAUCUAAAAUUAGAUGCUGGAAAGGAAUGUCUAAAUAUAUGAGGUCUAUAUAUAGAUAUAUAUAUAGAUAUUUAUAUCAUACCUAUUUAAUUCUUGUUGUUGUUCAUUAAAGUCUUAGUUUAGCAGUGGCAACUGAUUAUUUUACUUAGUAUAUCACAUAUUUUCAUUGACUCCUCACUUAUAUAAACUGGAUGUCAAUCUGAAAUCAACCUGUCAAAGAGGAAAUGAGGGACAUGUGAGGCCACUCUGAUUUCCACCAGUUGAGAACUUGGAUUUUCUUCAGUCCUUUUUAAUUUUUUUAAAAUCUUCUCUUUUUUCUAUCUUUGUUUUUUCCUCUCCUUCUCAUUUUAAUACAAGAUAGCACUUUAAAUUUCCAGCAGCAAACUGCAAAUAAAAACCGGUAAGCCAGUUAUUUUAUACAAAGAUUGUUUAACAGUGUUACUCAUUGUUAUGAAUGCUACUGUACCUAGUUGCUUGACUAAAGGAAGUCAAUCAACUGGAAGACUUAUUUAUGUGCCUGAAACCUUGAUGUAAAUUGGAACUUGUAAGGAAGUGCUAAUGCAGCCUCUGUUGUGAGAUAAGAGUGAAAGUGUGGUUAGUCAUGUAGCUAACAAGCAAUUUCUGUGGCUGUUUUUACUGAGUUUAUGGAUUAAAAUCCAUUAGAUGUGAUAGUAAUGACCUGCUUCUAAUCCAGACAGAUUUUAUAGUUGUUAGCACCUCUGACUUUAGUGAAACAAUUCCAGGAUCAAUGUGAUGCAAAUGAGAAGAAAAUCAGGCUGCAAAUGCUGCAGUUCUAAUGAAACCCUUUUCCCUGAUCCUGUCUCUGACCUCCCAUACUUUAUCUUCCAAGGAUCAGCUUUGUGGUGUUAAUUAUGGGGUAAGUAAGCAGUUACUUCCUAGAGCAAAUCAGCAAAAGUCCAGGUUUGCUCUAGAGGUCCCAAAGAUCAGAGCUCUGUGUUUCUUCAGGUUUCAAUUUACCAGGCUCAAAACACUUAAAAGCACAAGGAGGAGAGGCUGGGGAGUGAUCGGUUUACAAGUGACCUGGGAGUUCAGAGUCUCCAUCCCGUGAAAUUACAGCCCAUAUAAUAGGUCUUGUGCAGACAAAACUGCAACAAAUUAACUCUAGCAUCUUUUUUGGGAGGAGAAAAACACCUCUGCUUUAUCAGCAAUUCCCAGGUUGCCCUUCACUGCAGCCCCAAACUCCUUCUUUCCAGGAGAAAUAUUUUGGGCAUGACACACAUGCUUUGCUAUUCUGCCAAGAAGGUGAACAGCAUUUACCAGAGUGCCUUGGUUUGGGUCAAAAUUCAAACUCCAGCCCUUCAAGAAGUGACGAGCACCAAGGACUUGUCUUACAUGUGUACUUAAACCAAACCUCAUCAAGCUCCAUCUGUUACCACUCAUCUGAGUUCCCACCAAGUUUUCAUGGUCAGAAAACUCUUCUGUGACCAGUAUGAAUUUAAUGGCAUGGUGUUUGAAAGACUUAGUGUAGGGUGAGCAGUGUUUUGUCAUCACACAUCAUUCAGUGUGCUUGAUGCCAUCUUAUAGGUGGGUCUGGGAAUGUAUAUGUGUCUACAUUCUGUUAACCUACACCAAAACCAUGACUGUAAUGACUGACAUAUCUAGAGGAAAUUGACAGAGACAGGUCAGAAGCAUUGGUCUGUAACAAAAAGAAUGUGCUUAAAAAUGAAAAUGUUAUCUGCAAAAGUGGCAACACUUUUGUUAAGACUUUCAGAAAACAUUUUGUCAAGUCAUGUUCAUUUUUUGCUACCCCACAUUUAGUUUUGCAGAGGUCAAGUCUGAAAAAUAUUUUAUAAUUUUACUGUGAGAUCUGCCAACUUUGCAAAACCAGGCAGUUUUAAUUCUGGGAAUGAAAAUUUACUGUUAGUUCCAGCACUGAAUCCCAUUACUUCUUUUCAAUAAACUUGUAUUUGUAGCUAGGAUGUGCUGCAGCAAUCCUGAAGUUAGACUGCAAGCCAAGAUUCAAGGAGGUUAAUUUCAUCUCUCCAAGAGAAGUACAUUCAGAGGUGUAUAUAAUCUGUAACAAGGAAUUUAAACAAAGACCUUGGAGAUUAAAGCAUGUUGCCAUCUCUGAGAUUAGCAGUUGUUUCUAGGCCCUCACCUACUUGUGCAAUAUCCUUGGCAGGGUUCCAGAGGAUAACUUCUUGCCAUAUAAAAAUACCAUAUAAAUAACAUUAGGAAUAUGUUUCGGUGGGGCUUUGUGCCAAGGAUGAAAUGUUGUCUGGUGUUUCUAUGUGUUUGGGGAGCAAAAAAGGACUAAUUCUAUUUAGAAAAACAUUAAGGCCCAAAAGGACUUAGAAGGACUUAAUUGCUGCAUUUCCCUCAAGGUACACCAGUCUGUUGGAACAGCGAGGUGAGCAGAAGGCAGAGUUGCACAGAAAUAAGUUGCCCUUUUAUGCAGGUGUUGAGAACCAGAAAUAUAUUGGAAAUUUUGACCACAACUGUGUAGAUGCAGUGAAUGUGCUUAUCUCAAAUCAAUCAAUUAUUACAACUAGAUGAUAUUUUGCACUCCAGACAUUUGAGCAGAGUUGUUAGACAGUCAGUUAUAUAGGUUUUGUGACUUCUUACUAUCUGUACAUGUAGACACUAAAGAAUAUGCAUGCUCUCAAAAGUCCCCACUGGAGGAGAGGUGAAGGUUGUACUUUGGCAUGUAAGACAGCCAUCUGCUUCUGCAGAGGCAGCCUUUGUCUGCCUGUUGGAGACAUUUAGAGGUGGGGUAGGGGAGAGAAACUUUGCUAAUGAAACCAGAACAGGAUAUCUCUUGCAUGAUAGUCAUGCUGUGCCUGAGAGUUCUGCAGAGUUCUUUUUUGGACAGAGAGAAAGAUCAAAGUUGCUUGGGAAAUAAGUCCAGUGGAUGACACACCUGAUAUGUUGUAAACAAAUGGAACAGUCAGAAAACUUUACAGAAGAUUAUAUUCUCACUCUGCUAUACAUGCAACACAGGAUUAAAUCUAUGUCCUAGUGGAGACCUGAUUAGCAGACAAUGGUGAACAGUCCUCCUGCCAGCUGAGGCACAGCCCUGCAGGACUCCCUCAUGCUCCUUGGUGCCUUGAGAGAGCAUUUCUGCAAACUCGGGCUUGUGCCCAGAUGUUGGGAAAAAGUUAGAGACACUUCCUCAAACUUCCCUUGAUCAUUUCAGCCUGCAAAAUAGACCUGAACAUCAUAUGCUAGCUCACCUUGCACCUUAGGAGCCUGAAGGACUUAAACCCCUGCCAUUGAGGGAAUUGCAACCUUGUUUUAGGGCUGUAAAUUUUUGCAGUGUCUGUAAGUUAGGGUUCAGAUCCAGAAUGCUGACCUGAGCUUGACAUGCAAUAUAAAUGUAUCCUAUGAUGGGUUUAUAACAUCCUGAAGUCUGUUGUGGUUGUGGAUCCAGACUGCAGACUUUUUAGCUGUAUCCUAAGGUUUCAUUUUUACCAGCAAAUUAAACAGGGCACAGGCACAGACACUAAAACUCCAUUAUCUGUAAUGUUAAAUGGUGCCUUGCCUGAUUUUGACUCAAGAUAACUAGCACUCUCCCUGAUGAUUCCCAGGUGUGGUUUGAGGAUAAUGUAUGGGAUAAAGAUAUUCCCCAUGUUGAGUCUGAGUGUGGCCACCUUCUUUUGGAGGUAAAGACAGAUAACCAUAUCAUGCUAAGUUAACUUUGGGGUCACACUAUCAUUUAUUUUACUGGUGUAGAUCCUCUCAGAGGCUCUGAGAGGAACCCAUUCUUACAUGGCCUGGACCCCAAGCUGGUGGAGAGGCUGUUCUGUUGCUUGGGACAAGAUAAAAGCCUCUCCAUGGGAAGGGUGCAGGGGGUGCUUCCACACAUGCAUGCCGUGAGGCAGACUUUACACUGGAAAUACAGAGCAGCAAUAUGAUGGGGCUGUUUGCAUGGAAGAGUCUAGACUGAGUUAAUGCCUACUAGCUUCUCAAGGCAAUUUCUCUGAGGCAUCCCCAGAAGCUGAUUGCAAACAUAGGUGUGUAUUAACUCUAUUUUCUAAUCAGUUGCAGAACACGUGCUCUUGAUGGUACACUUUUCCUGGUAAAAUCUUGAAAAGACUGACCUGUGGUCUCUGCUUCAGCAACAAAAUACACCAAGGAUCAUGAAGAGAAAAAGAGUGAAUGAAAGCACAUCAGUACCUCAUAAUCUAUUAUAAAAUAUCAUAUUUCUGCCUAAUGUGGCCUGCAGUUACUAUCACAGUUUUGGAUCCCCUAGCUGUCACUACUAGAAACUCAUCUCUCUCAAACCAUUAAAAUAGAAAAGAACAAAAGUAAUCUCCUUCAGAGAAAUUAUUAUGAUCAAAAACCAGACAGAGAAUAAAGUCUUUGGCUACUGGUGCUGUUCCUUCUCUAGCACCUCUAGUUCUGUGCAGGACUUGACUCUAAACCAGGACAGAAAAUCUACUAAAAUCUGAAUAUAUGAUUAGGCUGAGAGAAAGAAUUUGGAUGUACUGAUACUUCAAAGAGCACUCACUUUUUUCAAAAUGCUUCCAUGGCUUCAAUUUUCAUAAUUUUUAACUGACCACUGCUAUAAUUAUUUACGCAAUCAGUUUGACAAAUUUUUUAUCUGCUUUGCAGUUCUUCUUCACUUGUCCUUGCUUACAGUGUAAUCAUGAGAACUCUUUGUCACAAACAUGCAGAAAACAAAGUUAAAGGAUCUUCUGUAAAAUGUCCUCUCUUCACUUUAGCAAUAUUACUUUUUCUUUACAUUGUAUGAACAUUCUUAUUUGGCUUCUAUAUCAGUAUUUUGACAUGCAAAUAUUUAAAAUAAAAAUGUUUCAAGGCAGCUGUCAGAUACUUAAUAAAAAUAUUAGUUCAGGUUACACAUAUUUAGAGCACUGAAAACAUGGGCUAUGAGAACUGAAUUGAGAAAGAACGUUUUAAUUGUAAACUAGUGGUACAGAAAUUUUAAACAAUAGUAAUGAGACCCAGGAUAUAGACAUCUUGAAUUCUGCAACCCCUAUUAAGCAAAGUACAGCCAGACGCAACAGUUAAAAAUAUGUAACCACACAAGUUCCCCAUUUGCCCUCUUUUAUUUGCCCUGUGUUUUCAAUUUGUAAUGACAAUUUUGUAUCAGAACAAUAAACCAAGAGGAUCAUCUUUCUUUUGCCAGCUGUGACCCAAAUGACUAGAUUUGACUGUCCCACGAAUGGAAACUGACAAAUGAGACUUCAAAAGACUUCCCAUUGCCAAGUUUAACAAAAUUCUGCUAUCUUUUAACCAAAUAUUUAUGUAUUACAUGACUGUGCUUUAUUAUAUUUAUGUAUUACAUGGCUGUGUCCUAUUAAAUUUAAGUUUCCUCUGA